UACGAAGGGGCUAGCGUUGCUCGGAAUCACUGGGCGUAAAGCGCACGUAGGCGGGUCUUUAAGUCAGGGGUGAAAUCCUGGAGCUCAACUCCAGAACUGCCUUUGAUACUGAGGAUCUCGAGUCCGGGAGAGGUGAGUGGAACUCCGAGUGUAGAGGUGAAAUUCGUAGAUAUUAGGAAAGAACACCAGUGGCGAAGGCGGCUCACUGGCCCGGUACUGACGCCUGAGGCACGAAAGCGUGGGGA
rnacentral:rRNA from 1 species